GAUGAACGCUGGCGGCGUGCCUAAUACAUGCAAGUCGAGCGAACGGACGAGAAGCUUGCUUCUCUGAUGUUAGCGGCGGACGGGUGAGUAACACGUGGAUAACCUACCUAUAAGACUGGGAUAACUUCGGGAAACCGGAGCUAAUACCGGAUGAUAUUUUGAACCGCAUGGUUCAAAAGUGAAAGACGGUCUUGCUGUCACUUAUAGCUGGAUCCGCGCUGCAUUAGCUAGUUGGUAAGGUAACGGCUUACCAAGGCAACGAUGCAUAGCCGACCGGGGAGGGUGAUCGGCCACACUGGAACUGAGACACGGUCCCGACGCCUACGGGAGGCAGCAGUAGGGAAUGUUCCGCAAUGGGCGAAAGCCUGACGGAGCAACGCCGCGUGAGUGAUGAAGGUCUUCGGUUCGUAAAACUCUGUUACUAGGUAAGAACAUAUGUGUAAGUAACUGUGCACAUCGUGACGGUACCUAAUCAGAAAGCCACGGCUAACUACGUG
rnacentral:rRNA from 1 species